UUCUCCUCUUUUUAAAAAAAAAACCCUCUUCCCCUUUUUUUUCUCUAUAGAGGCCCUUAGUCCGGCGAAGGUUUCGUACGUCGGUCGUCGCGUCGACCACCGUUCGCCGCCGCCGGCGCCGCCGUAUGCGGCGUGGAAAAUGUCGAAAAUUGCCCCUUUUUCAGCAAGAUCGAAGGUGCAAGUGGAGGAGCAGGUGGCGGUGGAUGUGACCAUGGCAGACCCGGGCAAGUGGUGGUGGCAGAUGGACAGAAGGUUGGGGCGGCACACCUAGGGGCUAGGGUUUCUUGGAGGAGUUUAGGAUAGUGGGCUAGGGUUAGGUUAGGUUUGGGUUUAGUUUAGUGAGAGAAUUAAGCCAAAAUUUAAUAAAGCAGCAUCAAAUAAGAUUAAUCCAAAUGGGGAUGACACUUGAUAAAUAUAAAAUUAUUCAAAUUUGCCAACAAAAAAAAUUCUUCUCUUAUAUCGGAAAACCUGUCCAUAAAGCACAUUUCUUCAAAUCCAAAAAGAAAUAAAACAAAAUAUUGAAGCAGCAAACUAUAAUAUUAUAGUCCAAAGCACAGAUUUUGACUUCCUAAACAAUAGCAUUGGCUGCACUUGCAAUCCUUGGCCAAAGAUCGGCACACUCCUUCCCAAUUGGACCAG